AUGCAGUCUGUAGCAUUCCCCAGAACCUGUACUUGGGAGACGGCAGUGAGCUUCGCGCAGUAGCCCACAGAGAAAAGUGCACGUAAUCUAAGUGUAAACAGCUUGACAAAUUUUCACUGUGGUAUCCAGCAUCCCCAUCAAGAGACAUAACAUUAGCAGCAUCUGGAAGCUCUGCUUAUGUUUCUUUCCAGAUGCUUCUCCCACUUCUAAGUGACAACGAAACUUCCGGAGGAUGGAAACAUAUGCCCUAAGGAGUGAGCCAAAGUGCUGGAGUGCGCAAAAGCGAAAAGAACGGGUAAUGCACAGACGGACAACGCACACAUCUCAGAAAGCCAACGCAGGUGUAGGUGAACUGUGAAUAGCAGAUGGUCAGAGAAG